ensembl:lncRNA
CAGCUCCAGUGGUCCCAGGUGGAGGCACAGGUGUCCCCAGCCAGACGCAGGGAUGGCAGUGGAGGCUGGCACUGCUCCAAAGUGCCAGGACUGUCACUCAGAUUACACCAUGUCCACGAUCCUCUGACAGCACCCUCUGUGCCCCCUGCAGGACACGGCACCUGCUCUGUGCCAUGCACAGGUGCAGGGGGAUCCCUUUGGUCUCUCCUGCACCUGCCACCUGCCCUGCCCAACAGGGGACAGUGCUGUGGAGCAAGCACAGAGGCACUGGCUCCCUGGCUCUGAGCUGAUCUCUGGGGCUGGGGGACGGCCAGCUCUAUGCCCACACAAACCUGCGUCAGGCCAGGUUCUGCCAGGUCAUGGCUGGGUGACCCUGGGGAGGUGACUUUGCCUCGCUGAGCCCCGGGUUCCUUCCCGCUAAGUGGAGUGGAGCCUGCCCAGGUGAUGCGUUGUCAGCAGGACUGACAGACAUCAUGUGUCUCAGGGCCUGGCCACGGAAGGUCACCGAGGACCACCACACGCCCAGGACUGGACCCUCUGGCAACAAGGACACCCGGCCAGUGGAGGACAAGAGAGACGGUAGUGCUGACUGGAAAACAGCAGAGCAGACGAUGGCGCCUCCUGCACUGAGGGCUGAGCUGUGUCACCUGUGACAACCCUGGAGGAACCUGAGGCUGGUGAUGAUGUCAUCGCUAUUUUUCCACAGCGAGUCACAGCCAGCGCUCCUGCACUGGGGAUUCUAGAAGGUUCCAUGAUCCUCCUCCUCGGCCAAGAGCCAAGACACAGCUGCCCUGUCACGUCUUCCCAAGAAGUUCCGGUUCUCAGGUUCUCGUUCCAGCAUUUUUAGAGUUCUGGACUGGGGCCAUGGGACAGGACAUGCUGUCUCCACCGGGGUUGGGGAGGCGGCCUGACUGGAACCUGGGUGAGGCAGAGGCCCCGUGACCUGUGAGGGCGGCCUGACUGGAACCUGGGUGAGGCAGAGGCCCCGUGCCCCGGGCAGGCUCCUGGCCGCCCUGCUGUGGAGGAGCCCGACCACACUGCAGACCCUGCAUUCUGCUGUCUCGGGGCUGCUGGGGCAGACCAGGCUCAGUCCCCGCUGCUGCGGGCAGGGGCUCUGGGCUGGGGUGCGGGAGGGCAGCAGGCACAGCCCAGGCCUCCGUGGACACUGACAGCCCAGACUCAGUGUCAUGAGGCUUUGGGGUCAGAGAGCCCUGGGUCACAUCCUGUCCCUGCCCCUUUUCACAUGGCUAAAACGCUGCCCACACACUGCCCACUUCCUCCCCCAGCACCUCGAGCCCCUGCCCGAUCCUGCCUGCUCAGGGGUCACUCUCUGGGGACAGGUCUGCCUUGCACACGGGCUCUGGCUCUGAGACCAGGCCCCGGGCUGUGCUGGCUGCCAUGGACUCUCAGGUCUUGGUCCCGGGUUGUCCCAGGAGUGAAGAAGGCCCUGUAUUCCUAGAUGGUCAGUGUAAGAUACUGACCUCAGAUGGCCCUGGGUUUAAUCCUCCAUCUCCGGAUGCCACCUAGACCCUGGCCGAGGUCCCACUGCUG